GACGAACGCUGGCGGCGUGCUUAACACAUGCAAGUCGAACGGAAAGGCCCUUCGGGGUACUCGAGUGGCGAACGGGUGAGUAACACGUGGGUGAUCUGCCCUGCACUUUGGGAUAAGCCUGGGAAACUGGGUCUAAUACCGAAUAGGACCACGCGCUUCAUGGUGUGUGGUGGAAAGCUUUUGCGGUGUGGGAUGGGCCCGCGGCCUAUCAGCUUGUUGGUGGGGUAAUGGCCUACCAAGGCGACGACGGGUAGCCGGCCUGAGAGGGUGACCGGCCACACUGGGACUGAGAUACGGCCCAGACUCCUACGGGAGGCAGCAGUGGGGAAUAUUGCACAAUGGGCGCAAGCCUGAUGCAGCGACGCCGCGUGAGGGAUGACGGCCUUCGGGUUGUAAACCUCUUUCAAUAGGGACGAAGCGCAAGUGACGGUACCUAUAGAAGAAGCACCGGACAACUACGU
rnacentral:rRNA from 1 species